rnacentral:miRNA from 1 species
GCAGACACAUUCCAGCCAAUCAGCAGCAGACCCUCCCUCCCAGACCCUCCCACCUCCUGGACAGCAUCCAUUUUACAUUCAUUGUGAAGCUGCAUUCUUAAUGAGCUGUCCAGGAGGUGGGAGGGUCUGGGAGGGAGGGUCUGCUGCUGAUUGGCUGGAAUGUGUCUG